AUCGCUUCUCAGCCUUUUGGCUAAGGUCAAGUGUAGUAUCUGAGAGGGGCAGAGGAAUCGAACCCGGGUCGGCCACCUACA
ensembl:snRNA U2 U2 spliceosomal RNA